rnacentral:rRNA from 1 species
UACGUAGGUGGCGAGCGUUGUCCGGAAUUACUGGGUGUAAAGCGCGUGUAGGCGGGAGGCCAAGUCUGCGGUGAAAUCGCUCGGCUCAACUGGGCGGGGUCCGUGGAAACUGGUCACCUGGAGGACGGUAGAGGCGAGUGGAAUUCCCGGUGUAGUGGUGAAAUGCGUAGAGAUCGGGAGGAACACCAGUGGCGAAGGCGACUACCUGGCCUGUUCUUGACGCUGAGGCGCGAAAGCUAGGGGAGCAAACGGG